rnacentral:rRNA from 1 species
CGCGUAGGCGGUCUUGUCGGUCAGAUGUGAAAGCCCAGGGCUCAACCCUGGACGUGCAUUUGAAACAGCAAGACUUGAGUACGGGAGAGGAAAGCGGAAUUCCUGGUGUAGAGGUGAAAUUCGUAGAUAUCAGGAGGAACACCGAUGGCGAAGGCAGCUCUCUGGACAGAUAUUGACGCUGAGGCGCGAAGGUGUGGGUAGCGAACAGGAUUAGAUACCCUGGUAGUCC